rnacentral:rRNA from 1 species
UACGUAGGGUGCGAGCGUUAUCCGGAUUUACUGGGUUUAAAGGGUGCGUAGGUGGGCAGGUAAGUCAGUGGUGAAAUCUCCGAGCUUAACUCAGAAACUGCCAUUGAUACUAUGUUUCUUGAAUUUUCCGGAGGUCAGCGGAAUAUGUCAUGUAGCGGUGAAAUGCUUAGAUAUGACAUAGAACACCAAUUGCGAAGGCAGCUGGCUACAGGGAUAUUGACACUGAGGCACGAAAGCGUGGGGAUCAAACAGG